GUGGGUGCUAUUUACUCUUAAAAUAUAUUUACUUUUUAUGAGGAAAUUGAUAUCUAUGAUUUAAAAAAUAUAAUGAAAAUAUAAUUAAAUUGAUAUCUUUGGUUCGGAGGGAAUUGGGGGCUCAUGGAUUUGUGUUGUCCCCGCAUGGUUGGUUGAAACAAUGUAAAACCAAAUGACAACUCUAUCAGAUUCAGAAUACAGUAGGAAUGGAAGGAACGACGAGUGGAAGCUUUUUUUUUUGUUUGAGCAUGCAACGGUACCAUUUUUUUCUUCAGAGCCAUAGUGAGAAGAAUGCUUGGAGUAGGAGCAGAUUACGCUGAUUACAACGUGCUGUACGGGUUUUCUUUAU
rnacentral:lncRNA from 1 species